CCUACGGGAGGCAGCAGUCGAGAAUCAUUCACAAUGGGGGAAACCCUGAUGGUGCGACGCCGCGUGGGGGAAUGAAGGUCUUCGGAUUGUAAACCCCUGUCAUGUGGGAGCAAAUUAAAAAGAUAGUACCACAAGAGGAAGAGACGGCUAACUCUGUGCCAGCAGCCGCGGUAAUACAGAGGUCUCAAGCGUUGUUCGGAAUCACUGGGCGUAAGGCGUGCGUAGGCUGUUUCGUAAGUCGUGUGUGAAAGGCGCGGGCUCAACCCGCGGACGGCACAUGAUACUGCGAGACUAGAGUAAUGGAGGGGGAACCGGAAUUCUCGGUGUAGCAGUGAAAUGCGUAGAUAUCGAGAGGAACACUCGUGGCGAAAGCGGGUUCCUGGACAUUAACUGACGCUGAGGCACGAAGGCCAGGGGAGCGAAAGGGAUUAGAUACCCCUGUAGUC
rnacentral:rRNA from 1 species